rnacentral:tRNA from 1 species
UGGAGAGGUGGCAGAGUGGUUGAAUGCGGCGCACUCGAAAUGCGUUAUACCUUCACCGGUAUCGGGGGUUCGAAUCCCCCCUUCUCCGU